UCAUGACGAUGAUGAUGAUGAUGGUGAUGAUGAUGAUGAUGACGACGAUGAUGAUCAUAAUGCUCAUCGACAUCAUCUUGUUGCUGUGGUUGUUGUUGUUGUUCUUCUUCUUCUUAUCAUCAUCAUCAUCAUCAUCAUCAUCGUCAUCAUCGUCA
rnacentral:pre_miRNA from 1 species